rnacentral:rRNA from 1 species
AUGGGCACUAGGUAGAGGGGUUUUGAUUAUUUCUCUGCCGGAGCUAACGCAUUAAGUGCCCCGCCUGGGGAGUACGGCCGCAAGGCUAAAACUCAAAAGAAUUGACGGGGGCUCGCACAAGCGGUGGAGCAUGUGGCUUAAUUCGAUGCAACGCGAAGAACCUUACCGGGGCUUGACAUGGUAGAAGUAGAAUCCUGAAAGGGUGACGAUCGGUAUCCAGUCCGUGACUAUCACAGGUGUUGCAUGGCUGUCGUCAGCUCGUGUCGUGAGACGUU